UACGUAGGGGGCAAGCGUUGAUCGGAAUCACUGGGCUUAAAGCGCGUGUAGGCGGAACGGGAGGUCCUUUGUGAAAGCCCUCGGCUCAACCGGGGAAUUGCAGGGGAAACCGCCGUUCUUGAGGCAGGUAGAGGCGGCUGGAACGUGUGGUGGAGCGGUGAAAUGCGUAGAUAUCACACGGAACGCCGGUGGCGAAAGCGGGCCGCUGGGCCUGACCUGACGCUGAGACGCGAAAGCGUGGGUAGCAAACAGG
rnacentral:misc_RNA from 1 species